rnacentral:rRNA from 1 species
UCCAAGAACAACCAACACCUUCACUUCUCAGAAAACCGAACAGGGGAGAGACCCUCUGUGAUCAAGGACACAGGCAGGGGUUUGUCCAGAAUCUAGUAUUUGUACUCCAGUACUUAGUGUUUCAUUACAAGUCUAAAGGUCUUUUACUUUUUUUUUUUUUUACUUUAAGUAUUUCUUUUAUGCUGCCUGCUUCUGCUCCGCUGCAUCUUGGAUGCAAACAUUGUACUUUGUGCUCCAAUAAUUAGUUGUUUUAAAGCUUUUGUUAUCUGUUGUUCUAGAUAAAAAUGACCCAGCAAUAAGCAAUUAAAAUUAUCUCCAGGUGCAACAUUAAAGUCAUAUAAACAUCUUACUUCUUCAAUCAUAGGAUCCAAUCAUGACUUUAGCUGCGUAAAUCAUGUUAAAACCUAAACCUACAUAGGAUCAUGACUUUUACAUAAAUAAAGGGUUUAAAUAUUUGUUUUUAAUCACAACUAAAUAAUGUUCUAGCUCUUUUGCAGUGCCACUUUUCAAAUACUACAUCCCUAACCCAAACUCUACUCUUAGCGUUUUUUCACUUACCCCUGAGCGGGCUCUCGCCUCUGGUGUCAAGCGCCCGGCACCCAGCGCUCCAGGGAGAGCAUCAGGUGGGGAGUUGACUUGGGCGUUACACCUGUCAAACUGUAACACAGAUGUCCUAAGGCGAGCUCAGGGAGGACAGAAACUUCACUUGGAGCAGAAGGGCAAAAGCUCGCUUUAUCUUGAUUUUCAGUAUGAAUACAGACCGUGAAAGCGGGGCCUCACGAUCCUCAUACUUUUUGGGUUUUAAGCAGGAGGUGUCAGAAAAGUUACCACAGGGAUUAACUGGCUUGUGGCAGCCAAGCGUUCAUAGCGACGUGGCUUUUUGAUCCUUCGAUGUCGGCUCUUCCUGUCAUUGUGAAGCAGAAUUCACCCAGCGUUGGAUUGUUCACCCACUAAGGGAACGUGAGCUGGGUUUAGACCGUCGUGAGACAGGUUAGUUUUACCCUACUGAUGAUGUAUUGUUGCAAUGGUAAUCCUGCUCAGUACGAGAGGAGGUUCAGACAUUUGGUGUACAUGCUUGGCUGAGGAGCCAAUGGUGCAAAGCUACCAUCUUGGCCAUUCUAGAGGUUCAUCUACAGAAAUCUUGCAUCUUACUUGUACAUACUGAUCAUUGUUGCCAUUUUGAGUAAAUUAACUAAAUUAUGAGUAAAUUUGGGAUUUUUGGGCAUCAUUUAUAAUGCAAAACGAGAGCUUCUGUUUUGUCCCGUUUAGCUUGAUUUUAUAAAUUUGUUAUAGAAAUGAAUAUGUAGUUAAUCGUCCAGCCUCAGAAUGGAGCCGCUUAGCACAU